GUGCAGUGCACCAGCAUGGCACAUGUAUACAUAUGUAUCUAACCUGCACAAUGUGCACAUGUACCCUAAAACUUAAAGUAUAAUUAAAAAAAAAAAAGAAAAGAAAAAAAAUACUUGAGAAGACUUAAUUGAAUUUCCGUAACAAAUCACUGAGUACUUAUUGUGUUGGAGUAAAGUAACUUGAGCAUCAUUAAUAGUCUGGGGUUUCACUCUAAAUUUUGGCACCACAAGUAUUCUCAGAAUACGGUUUGUUCUGGGAAGUGAACCUAGGGUCUGAGUUCAUUUGCAUAAUUUAUUUCCAUGAUAUUAAAUCCUCUUAUAAUCAAAAUUAAUUAUCAAGAAAAAGUAAUAUUACCGAGAAUCUCCAGUCUGAAGUAUCAGCCAAUGUCAGUAUUAGUGAAUGACUUUAUACAAAGAGAGACUUUGUAUUUUGAAAUAGUCAUUGAAUAAACUUUUACAUUACAUCCUAUGUCCUUAGAUCAGCACUUGAAUAAGUACAGAUAUACUACACAUUGUCCUUUUCUAGAAAGCACUAAAGUCUAGUUAAGGUAAUAGAACAUCAAGCAACCAGAGAAAAUAAAAGCAGCAAAACAGGUGGCAUCUGUAUUAAAUAGCAUAUAAAUACUAAAACACGAAAUUGUAUUAUAUAGGCAAUCAGACUAUGUGAUGUAGACAAUGAAUGUAAAGGGAAUUUAAGAAGUUGCAGGAUGUACACCUUUGAAGGAGAGUUAAAAAAUGUCCAGCCAGAGUAGAGCUGGGGUUGGGGGUGGAGGCCAUCCAGCAAAAGUGAAGCCACAAAAACAAAACCAAGAAGGAAUGAAUAAGGCGUGUAUAUAAAACAGGACAUUUAGUGUCUGGCUAAAUUUGAGGCUUGGUAUUAAAGAAUAGUGGGGACCUAUAAAAAUGGCAAUUUUGUACAGUUCAACCUAAUAGGUAGGGAUGGAUGUGUUUAUGGAAAGCUGGGCCAAGGAGUGUCAGCAGAAGCUUGUUAUAAAGACUUACGUGGAAACACACAAAUCAACUUUUAACAUUGAAAUCUCAGGGGAGUAAGAUGAGGAAGACCAGUAUUUGUUAAAAUAAACAUGUUGCUUUUGCAACAAAUAAAAGGUAGAAAACAGAGUAGAGGCUGAGCACAGUAGCUCAUGCCUGUAAUCCCGACACUUUAGAGGCACACGUGGGAGGAUCGCUUCAGACCAGGAGUUCAAGGUUACAGUGACUGAUCGUGUCACUGCACUCCAAUCUAGGCGACAGAGCAUGACUCUGUCUCAAAAAAAAAAAAAAAAAAAAAAAAAGAAAGACAAAAAACAGAGUUAAAAAAAAAAAGGAGAAAAAUAAAUGUUUUAACUACAAGAGGACCCCCAAAAAGGCUUGUUCAUUAAAUACUUCAAAUAUUAGAACUAGGGGGUUUGCCUUGAGUAGGGAGGUUAGUUGUGGAUUUUAAAAGGCAGCACAUUUUUACUCAGUAGGUAGUAAGUUAACUGAGAAUUAGACACUUACUUAACUUUCUGAAAGUUAGCCUAAUUAGUCAGUUUGGGCUGAAAUUAUAGAUGGCUUCAAAUAAGCUAGUUAUCUUUGAAACAUAAUUUUAUCAAUAGUCCACAUCGUGGUGUUAUGAAUAAAACAAGAAGGUGAUGAAGGAUAAGGUAGCCCUAACCUUAGAUGCUGGUAUCA
rnacentral:lncRNA from 1 species